GACGUAGGGCGCGAGCGUUGUCCGGAUUUAUUGGGCGUAAAGCGUGCGCAGGCGGUUAUGUAAGACAGAUGUGAAAUGCCCGGGCUUAACCUGGGAACUGCAUUUGUGACUGCAUGGCUAGAGUUUGGCAGAGGGGGGUAGAAUUCCACGUGUAGCAGUGAAAUGCGUAGAUAUGUGGAGGAACACCGAUGGCGAAGGCAGCCCCCUGGGUCAAGACUGACGCUCAUGCACGAAAGCGUGGGGAGCAAACAGG
rnacentral:rRNA from 1 species